GCUGCCACCUCUCCGUUCUACGUAACCUCUGAAACUUCUUGUCCGUUGCGAAUCUCGGAGGCUUUGCAAAUCUUGUGCAGCUGCUAUUGUUGUGCGGAGAUGGCGCGGCAAGCACCAAAACACAGCGAAUUAAGUGCGUUGCAGCUGCGCUUGCAAUCAAGAACCAACGAAUCGGGGCAUUCGCCACCUUCACAUGUUCAGCAUCUUUGUCUCGGCAGUCUUCAUCGGUUGUGCACGUCUGUUUUCAGCUUAGGAGAUAUCGGCCGUUGCGAUUCAUUGUGAUAGUGUUAAGCCUCGGCUGACGUUCGUUUUGGUGGACAUCGGUGGUGUGGCACAGUCGGACCCAGAGCUUCGACUUGAAGAUGGUGUGUGCUUGCGGCACACGCCAUCACUUUCUGACACCCCAAAUUUCUGACAUGCCCUACUGCUUCCAAAUCACAGUGCUCUCCUUCACUUUCGUUAAUUCGAACUGAAGCGGCUUCCCCUUGUGGUUCGAACUAACGAGCUUUUACUGCAUAGGAAAUAGCUGCUGAAUUUGUUUUGGAAGUGGUGGUGACAUCACUGGGCAGCACUUGGCCAUACUUGUGAGCCCGGUCAUGGUUCUUAGUAGUAACGGAGGGCUGCACAGGCUCAGUUCAGUGCUUGCAGCAAAGGGCUAAUUUAUAUAGACUGUUGCCACCAAAGGGAAAGGUUUACCACAUUCGCACACAUUAUGCUAUGAGGCAACACUCGAAUGGUUAAUGGUAAAUGACCAAAUACAUAAUGCCUCAUAAUCUUCCAGCACAACAACUAGACAAAGACGAAAAAGAAGGCACCAUCUAUCAACUGAGGCUUUAAUGCAAGCACAUGGCCAAUAUAUGCAACGCAGAUUGCACCAAAGCAGGGAAAAACAAAACCAACAUCUUGUAAAGAGCCUACAGAAAAAUCAUGUUUAAUUACAUUUGAUAAAACAAAAAGGUAAAUUGAUCCUGUGUUAGUGUGAUGGAGGGCUGACUUGUGCAUUUGUGCACCUGCUUAUGGAUGUGAAAAACUUCAGCUAUCUUGUGCGUACACUGCCCUCUGUGCCUCAUAACGAUGGCAGUACUAUUGAAAAGAGGCAUGAUAACCACAGGUGUGACAGUGGCUAAAUGAGAGCUGGGUGUGCCCUUUAAUUGAAGUGUGGUGUUCGUUGAGGCAUGCGUUGAGGCCAUGUGUUUGCAUUAAAGCUUCAGUUGAUAGACAGCACUUGUGGCCGUCUCUUCUUUUUUGUCUUUGUCUAGUUGUGUUGACAGACCAUGAACAUAUUCCAACUCGCGCAGUUCUCGUUACUUUUGCAGUACAUAAUGUCUGUGCAAGGCUCCUCCUAGUUUGACCAGUGUUGCAGAAAGCGCCACAGGAGCAAGUUUCAACAGGUUGACCAGAAUUCACCAGAAGUAAUUAUUCUUGACUUAGGCAGUGCAAAAUAAUGUAGAUGGAGGGGAAGAAAACACGACACAGUGCAGACUAUCAAGUGAGGGUUUAAUGAAAAAACACAGAUAUAUAGACGCACUGAAAAAUGUGGCCCAAGAAAAAGUUAAAAAGCAAAAGUUUUUAGUUCCAACAUCAUAUAGUGGUAGGCAUCCAAGUAGUCUGCAGCAUGCAGCAUAAUGCAGCGUGAUGCCACUUUCACCCGAUUUGCUUAUAAAAAAAAAAACAUGCCUCUUCUAUUUCUCGUGCCACCGUGUCUUCGAAUCUCAACAGUACCCUUGUUUCAGCAAAGGUUGGUGUGUCCAAAGUUAGUAUAUGUUGCCAAAGUGUUUCUAGCUGUGGCACUCAAGGCCCAACGAAACAUUAUGCCAAACUGCAACAAACACAUGCAUAAAAGUUCUGUGUGCAUAAAUUGUCACACAUCUUAUGUGUUGUGCAAUUCUGUUUGUAUGAGGCCAUGGCAAAAGUAAUGAGCAACUAUUUUCCACAAGUUGUUGCUCAUUACCUACGAAAAGAAAGGUGCACCAUUAUGCACUUAAUCCCGCACAAUUCAGUUUUGUGUGUGUGCAUGCUUGUGGAAGCAACUUCCAAUAGAACCUAUUCGUAAUUGUAAAGCUAGCUUUUCUGCUAGACAGUUUGGCCAACUAACAGCAGCGUAAUCAUUUUUGCAAGCAGCCUGUACAAGCACAGUUUGCUUGUGUUAUGGCACGUAAAAUGUACAUUUUGCUCUUGUGAUGAAACUGUGUGCAAGAUACAAGCCCCAGCAUGUGCAAAUAGCAUAUAUUUUUUGUUUGAACUGCGACCUGUGCUGUCGUUAGUCGGGCAAAUGUGCAGUGCAGAGAAGCACGCUUGUGAAUGUGAAAAGAUUCCAUUGGUCAGCCCAUCGAUGGUUCAUUAACUCACAGCCUGUUUCCUGUCCUCUGACUUUCACAUUUAUUACCCCUUGCAGCCAAAAGGGGGAGAGAAUGAUAAUGCCAUUAUGUUGUGCACUCAAGCCUGUCUGAACAAAUCAGAAAAGACGAGAAGUUGUGCUAUUUGGCAUUUGAUGCCAGGCUUUUGAGGCUGCAGCUAGCUUAGCAACUGGCUGCAGAGCAAUGGUGCAUUCCAUGGUGAAGCAACCAUGCAUUCCAUACUAAGCAACCACAAGCAGUGUUCCCAUCUGCCUUUUCAGAUCCUCAUGUUCAGAUAUAUGUUAUCGUCAUAAGGGGAACGAUGGAUUCAAAAGGUGCCACUUGCAAAGCUGCCCUUUCUAUUUGUAUGGUUGAGCAACUAACCACACCACGAACAUUGUGCUUACCCCUUCAAAUGAGUACUGACAUAUUUUCAUAGUUGUACAAACUCAAGCACAGCACUUUUUGCACCUAUUAAGGCUGGAAAACAUCGCAAUGUCGUGACACCAAGAAAAAAUUGCAGAUGUCAUGUAGUAAUAAGGCUAGCUUCGAUGGCGUUGCUUAUAAAAAAUACUGCUGCACACAGUUUCUUGUGACCAAGCAUGUAUGUGGCAGCCACACUGUAGGAACAGAAUAUGCCAAGGUACUACUGCGUCGUGACCUCUUGGGCAUCAAACCUGAGUCACAGCAAAAGGUGCAGUAAAUUAAAAUUUAAGGUGCUCCAACACCUUCUAGUAUCUUUUCUAGGAUUGAAACCUUUGUUUAAUGGAAAAUAAUGAUAAGUUGAAAGUGGCACAUUAGUACUCGGUUUAAGCUGACCCCUGAUGCCAAGCUGCACGACAUCCAAGCUGUUUGAGAAAAUCUAUUCACAAUUUUCUUAAUGGAGGAAAGACAACUACGAGAUUUCAUCAGUUUAAUGCAGCAGUGUACAUACUAAAAUGAAUCAAAGCAGUAAUUGCACAAUUACUAACCUUAGACCGCAUUGAAUGGAAAGGGACGAUCAGUUAUAAUUUUAGACUUGAAACCUGUUCAAAGAGUCUGUAACCACUUGCACAGGGCUGAAGAGAGAUGAAUUAACAUGCUCUUGCCAGUUUUAUGCAGAAAAUCGAAACCAAAACGCUGAAAAGUGCACGUAUGUGUGAUGCAACCAUUUUGGCCUUGUCGUCACGCAAUGCAUGAAGUAAGGGAUAUCGCAGCUUGGUAAAGGAGACUGGGAGGCAGAAACGUGACUUGCAGGUGUCUGCUAGGGGCAUGACAGUUGCACAUUCUGGCAUUUCAGCUUCAAUAUCAUGGUGUGGAAUUGGCCAGAAUGCAUUGCUCUGAUAAAAUCCUACUAUUUCUGCAACUCCGCUGCUGCCACAAAAUACUAUGCUGGUAGUCUUUAGCAGGCCAAGGUUAACCACGGUAACAUGCACAUCGUGUUUGUGCCAUGACAGACCUACCUACAUCAGAAGCCAGGGAGGGGAGAAUUAUUCGCUAUUAGGAGCGGAGCUGAGAAGACUCACCUCCCCGACUUCCCUAAAUUCACUAGAAAAAUCCACAAUGGCAUUGUCUUUGGCAUUCCCCUCAAUGUUGCCUUGGAACUCCCAGUAUACAGUCGAAUAUCAUGUCCAGAGGGUCCCGGUACAGACUGGUGACCUUGGGACGCUCUUCUGCAUAUCCUUGUUGUAAUCGUGCUUUAAAUGUUUGAUUGAUUGAUUGAUUGAAUGCCUCUACAACGAAGGCUGGUAGAACAAAUUUGCCUGUACAACAAAGAAAUUUAGGCAUCCCUCGGCAGUUUAGCGGUUGCUUUACGACGAAUGCCAAGUAGCAGUGCUGCCACUGCCCUCUAUGUGCUAGCACCAGUGGCAGUUGACAAGCAUGCCACCAUCAGUAGUAGUCCCACUUCACUGCUCCAGCAAUCGCUCGACUAGUAUGCUGCUUGUUUCAGUGCAUCAGUGCGUGCGAUGGCUGACGAAUGCGUCGCAUUUGGUGAUUUAAUCAUAAGUGACGACCGACAAUGUGUUCAAAGCCAGCCGGGGGGUAGGUAGGGACGCGAAAGUCAACAGAGGCAAUAGUGAUGAAGAUCCUGUAGACUAACCAAGAAAUCUCACGGCAAAAGAGGCGAUAGCGACAUUGUAUAAUCUGCAGCUUUACUUUGUGUAGCUCCUAUGUUUUGCCGCAAAGCAUGCCGUGAAUCUUGGUACAAUAAGGUUUGCUGCAGUUGCUGAUUCUGUCCAAGUGUGCACCAAGAAUUAGCAAUUAUUCUACCAAGUCUCUCCUGAAUUAUGCUAAAUAUUUACUUUUGUUGAGUGUGCUUUGCCUGCCCUAGGGUAAGCAGUACAGUGCACGACCUUUACAGCAAAGCGACUUGUACAUAUAAAGAAUAUUGGAGGUCCCAAGCACUUUGUUAUAAAGGCGUUUGACAGUAGCGGGAAAGCAGCAAGGACUACUGUCAUCAUGGCACUAGCAGGCCCACUAUGCACACGCUUUGAACCUGUUGUAAUUGCCAUCAACAGUGCCAGCUUUUUGCAAGCCUUCAAGUGGUUGUGCACAACAGACUUCAAAUCUUGCAUUAGGAUUAGUCAUGUGGCUGUCAGUAAAAGAAGCAAUCCGUAAGAAAUCACUUGUCUUCUGUACCCUCAUAAGAAAUCUGAAACAUAUUUUUCUGAACCUUCCUGCAUAGUGUGAGCUUGCAACGCUUUGUGCUGUACGCUUACUUGCAUCAGGUCAGGGGCCACAUAGCUCUCUGAAAAAAAAAGUGCCGUGCUGUGGAAGCAAAGGUUAAACUGAGGGCAGGAUAAAAGCAAUUGGUACAUGCUGCAGUGACCAUGUGUUGCUGAGCACGAGGUAGCAGCUUCAAUUGUUUGUCAAGGCUGUCCCACUCUGAAUGCAAGAAAGCUCAAGUACCAGACACUGGGUGCUCACUGAAGAACCCCAUGUGUUCAAAAUUAACUUUCUGUUACGGCAUCUCUUACAGCCUGUGUCCCUUUAGAAUAUUGAAUCAUCAAACAAAAAAGGACUGAUGACUGUUGCUCUUCCAAGCACGCAAGGCCAAGGACAUGAGAGAAAGCAAAUUUUCCAUUCGGAGACAUAACAGUUGUCCCAAAUAAAUGACACCAAGAAGGAAAAAAAAGAGGGCUUUACACAAAUGGCAACCACUAAGCUGAUGAGUGUUGUUUAGGCUAGUAAAGUGUUAUUUUCCAAUUAGUUAAAGUUAUUAGGUUUACAUAGCAAACUUUCAAUUAACCAGACUGAUAAGGCAUCAAUGCAAAAGUUGUGAAGCAUGUCGACAACCACAUUGAUAGCAACCUAGGUCAUGUGCAGCCCCCUUUUUCAAAUGAAAAACGAAAGCCCGCUUAAGUUUAUAAAUACCAUGUGACAACAAAGACAGGUAAACCUCACCAUCUAGUAUGCUCAACAUCUUACGCACAUAUAAAGCCAGGGCCUUGUGUUUGAUAAAGACUGAAGAUUCACGGCAAAAGCUGCCGACGAGCCAGGGAAAGAGAGCAGCUGCUAGUUCCCAGUGCGAUGAGCUGGAACAGUGCUUGACAUUGUCGCAAGCUUUCUUUGUUGCAGAAGAAAACAACAGAAGAUAACAUAGAACAUAGCUUUCUUUGUUGCAGAAGAAAACAACAGAAGAUAACAUAGAAUAGCACCUCUCUGAAUGCUGUUAUCCGUAAUUUCACGACAUCCUCCACUGCUUUUGCACUGAUGCCUUAUCAAUUAGGUAAAUGAAGUAAAAGUGAGGUAAUGAAACUUGUCCGGCAGCAGUGCACAAAGUCUGGCAGCAGUGCACCCAGCGAGCAGGUCGACUAAGUGAUCCUGUAUAUCGUUACAGCCACACGUUUCCUGGGGCCUUGGAUCAACGCUUUGGCUUGCCAUCAACGACGCAGGCUGCCUGAGCCCUUUGGCUACCGUGACGCCCGUGCAACCUACUGCGCAUCCUCGUCUCUGCCUACGCUGACGGAGCAGAGUGCCCGGCUGCCUACAUAAGCCCAGAAUCCCUGCUUCGCUCUUCAGUCCGGCAGCAGUGCACCCAGCGAGCAGGUCGACUAAGUGAUCCUGUAUAUCGUUACAGCCACACGUUUCCUGGGGCCUUGGAUCAACGCUUUGGCUUGCCAUCAACGACGCAGGCUGCCUGAGCCCUUUGGCUACCGUGACGCCCGUGCAACCUACUGCGCAUCCUCGUCUCUGCCUACGCUGACGGAGCAGAGUGCCCGGCUGCCUACAUAAGCCCAGAAUCCCUGCUUCGCUCUUCAGUCCGGCAGCAGUGCACCCAGCGAGCAGGCUGCCUGAGCCCUUUGGCUACCGUGACGCCCGUGCAACCUACUGCGCAUCCUCGUCUCUGCCUACGCUGACGGAGCAGAGUGCCCGGCUGCCUACAUAAGCCCAGAAUCCCUGCUUCGCUCUUCAGUCCGGCAGCAGUGCACCCAGCGAGCAGGUCGACUAAGUGAUCCUGUAUAUCGUUACAGGUAAGAACAAACGACCUUGACACGUUAUAGUAAUUACCUUGCUUGCUGCACUGCUGCCGGACAACCAAAAAUAGAUAUAUAUUUUGUAUUUUGACUGCUUUUUGACGUGGGCACACGAUGUCAAAGAAAGAAGAAAAGGAA